UGCUUUGCUGAAGAGGAAGCUAAUCUGAGGCUACAACAAGCUAAGUUGGAAGUGUCUAUACAAAUGCUAAAACAUAAAAAAGAGGCUGCAGCAGCCGUUGCCGAAGCAGAGACACUUGAAGCUGCUGCUGAUGCAAAAAGUGAGAGACAUAGUUGUGACCUGAACAUAGACUCUGUUCCUUUAGAAGCCUCACAACGCACAAAGCAGUAUGUGCUUGAUCAACUAAAAGAAAGGGAUUCAGAAUUUGAGUCAUGUAAAAGUGGUGACAUGCAAGCAAAGACAGGGCCGGUUCCUAAUCAUAACGUGUCACCUCCUCCAUUAAAGCCUGAAGUCAGUCCCAGUGCUUUUCCUACACACCACUUCAGACCACAAAACCACCUCACCCAGCCUCCUCCUGCACGCCAUGCCGUACUGCCAGACUUCCAUGAUGGCAGCUCACACAUAAAUGACUUUGUCAGGUAUCUAGCCCGCCGUGAGCUUGUAGCUACAGGCUUGCUUCAAUUCAAUGACAAACCCCAAAACUACAGAGCAUGGAGGCGUUCCUUUUUGACUACCAUCAGCGGCUUAAACCUGACACAGAGUGAGGAGAUGGAUCUUCUGCUAAAGUGGCUCGGGAAGGAGUCAGCAGAGCAUAUUGAGCAGAUAAGAGCAAUACACAUCAACCGGCCAGAAGCAGGACUGGCCAUGGCAUGGGAAAGGCUCGAGCUAACAUAUGGCUCAGCUGAAGCAAUAGAAAAUGCUCUGUUCAAACGCAUUGACAGUUUUCCAAAAAUAAUAAACCGAGAUGGACCUAAGCUGACAAAGCUGGGUGAUCUACUGAUGGAACUGCAGGCCGCCAAGGCUGAAGGAGACUUACCAGGCCUGGCUUUCCUUGAUACGGCGAGAGGCGUCAACCCAAUUGUACAGAAACUCCCGUCUCGUCUCCAGGACAAGUGGGUGAUAGCUGGUGCAGCCUACAAGAGUCAAAACAAGGUAAACUAUCCUCCCUUUGGUUUCUUUGUCGAUUUUGUCAGCCAGCAGGCUUGCAUUGCAAAUGAUCCAAGCUUCAGCCUCAUCGGCAAUCCAGACACGGCCCCCAGGACAGAGAAGACAGCAUGGAAGCCGAACAGACAGCGGGAAGUCUCCGUCCACAAGACAGAGGUGUCACCCAGAGCCACGUCUGACACGGGUGAGCCUCCAACAAAAUCCGACGACAGCGACAAACUGUGUCUGUUGCAUAAAAAGCCCCAUCCUCUCCGUAAGUGUCGAGCAUUCAGGGAGAAGACCAUUGAUGAGCGCAAAACACUCCUCAAAGAAAACAAUGUGUGCUUUAAAUGUCUUUCUUCCUCGUCUCACAUAGCAAAGAACUGCAGACUCAAUGUCCAGUGUUUGGAAUGUAAGAGCGAUAGGCACAACACAGCGCUUCACCCCGGGCCCGCAGCCUGGCAGCAGGAGGCUGGCCCUGCUUCUGAGCACGGCGGGGAGGAAGAUGCAGCUUCAUCGCAGUCUCAGAUCACCAACAAAUGCACGAAAGUCUGCGGAGGCGAACUCACAGACCGCUCCUGCUCAAAAAUAUGCCUCAUCAAAGUGUUCCCAACUGGCCACAGAGAAAAAGCUGUAAAAUUGUAUGCGAUCAUGGACGAGCAGAGCAACAGGUCGCUGGUUCGCUCACAGUUCUUCGACAUGUUCAACGACCAAAGUCCAAGCGCACCGUACACACUGAGAACAUGUGCUGGAGUGAAGCAAUCAGCUGGUAGGAGGGCCACUGGCUAUGAAGUGGAGUCUCUGGAUGGAACUGUUCGCGUCCCGUUGCCAAGCCUCAUAGAAUGUAACGACAUACCGAACAACAGAGAAGAAAUUCCAACCCCUGAAGUAGCUCUUCAUCAUGAUCAUCUAAGGUCAGUAGCACACCUCAUCCCAGACAUUGACCCGCAAGCUCCUAUUAUGCUUCUCUUAGGACGGGACAUUAUCAGAGUGCAUAAAGUCCGCAAACAGGUGAAUGGCCCUCACAACCUGCCUUACGCGCAGAAGUUAGACCUGGGGUGGGUCAAUGUUGGAAAUGUGUGCCUAGGUAAUGUUCACAAGCCACUGACAAUUAGCACAUUCCACACAAACACCACAGAGCUGCGGCGGCCCACUCUCUUUGAUACGUGCCCCAACGUGUUCCACGUGAAGGAGAGGUUCAGCGACACCCAGGCCACCAGCGAACCUCCAGCGUAUCCUGAGGACCAGCCUACCUGUGAAACCAACCACCUUGGAUGCACGGUGUUCAAGCGGACCAGGGAUGACAAUCAGGUAGCUCCCUCCAUUCAAGAUUCAUUGUUCAUGGAGAUAAUGGAUGGAGGUCUGCAAAAAGACUCAAACAACAGUUGGGUGGCACCAUUACCUUUCAAGAGCCCACGCCCACGGCUCCCUGACAACAGGCCACAGGCGCUGAGGCGUCUCAUGUCUCUCAAGCGUAACUUUGAGAAAAAGCCUGGGAUGAGAGACCACUUUCUUGCCUUCAUGGACAACAUGUUUCGGAACGGUCAUGCAGAGUUAGCCCCCCCGCUCAGCCCGGGUGAAGAAAAGUGGUACUUACUAACGUUCGGGGUGUAUCAUCCAAAGAAACCUAAAAAAAUCCGUGUUGUGUUCGAUUCCAGUGCCCAAUACGACGGCAUAUCACUCAACAACGUGCUGUUAACGGGACCUGACCUGAAUAACACACUUCAGGGAGUGCUGAUCCGGUUCAGAAGAGAGGCCAUCGCCAUCACAGCCGACAUAGAGCAGAUGUUCUAUUGCUUCCGGGUAAGAGAAAAAGACCGUAACUUCUUGCGUUUUCUCUGGUUCCAGAACAACGACCUCUCCAAAGCCAUCGUGGAUUACCGCAUGAACAUCCACGUUUUCGGCAACAGCCCUUCACCUGCAGUGGCUAUUCACGGUCUACACAAGUCGGUCCAAGGCAACGAGUUCCAUGUCGACCCAGAUGUGCAGCACUUCGUGUUGCACGACUUCUAUGUUGAUGAUGGACUGAAGUCCCUACCCACGGUUCAAGCUGCUAUCAGCCUGCUAAAAAGGACACAGGAUGUGCUCUCCAAGUCAAAUCUGAGACUUCACAAGAUUGCAGCGAACAACAACGAGGUCAUGGACGCCUUUCCAUCCAGUGACCACGCGAGUGACCUCAAAGACCUUGACCUCGACGCAGACGAGCUGCCAUUGCAGCGCAGCCUCGGGCUUGACUGGAAUCUCAAGACAGACUGUUUCCUUUUUAAUGUCUCCAGCGCAGCCAAGCCCUACACCCGGCGCGGUGUUUUGUCUACGAUCAAUAGCCUCUACGACCCACUUGGAUUCGUCGCUCCCGUCACGGUCCAAGGCAAGGCUAUCCUGCGAGAGCUCACAGCGGAGAACGGUGACUGGGACGCGCCCUUACCUUCAGCCAUGGAAGAUGCCUGGACGUCAUGGAGAGCCUCUCUGUCCGAGCUCGCUGAGCUUCCCAUCCCAAGGCGCUACACAGAAGCUUCACCAUCAGCAGCGGUAAGAAGAGAACUGUGUGUGUUUUGUGAUGCGUCAGUCAAGGCUAUCGGUGCUGUGUGCUACCUGAAAGUGACAGACAGUAAUGGCAACAACCAGGUUGGAUUUGUAAUGGGCAAAGCCAAGCUGGCCCCCCGUCCUGAACACACAGUGCCAAGACUCGAACUCUGUGCAGCAGUGCUUGCUGUCGAGUUAGCAGACCUGGUCUCUGCAGAACUAGAUCUACAGCUUGAUGAUGUAACCUACUACUCGGACAGUAAAGUAGUCCUGGGCUAUAUUUGCAAUGAGACCAGGCGCUUUUAUGUCUAUGUCAGCAACCGGGUGUUACGCAUUCGAAGAUCCAGCCGACCAGAUCAGUGGCGCUAUGUACCAACAGAUCUGAACCCUGCGGAUCACGCAACACGUUCCAUCCCUGCUGGCCAACUGAAACACACCAAUUGGUUGAGUGGGCCCAAAUUUCUCUCCAAGCCGGAGCCCAGCAUUUCUGACAGCACUUAUGACCUUGUUGACCCGAGCACAGACCCAGACAUCCGCCCUCUGGUGUCUGCCUUAAGCACUACAGCCUCAAACAAACAACUGGAUUCACAACGCUUUGCCAAGUUCUCUACCUGGAAGUCAUUAAUUCGUGCAGUCACUCGCCUCGUUCACAUAGCCUGUCAUUUCAAGACAGCUCACAGAGAGAACGGAGCAUGCAAGGGCUGGCAUUACUGCAAAGCUGAAACAGUUGAGGAAUCAGAGAAAGCAUCGGCUGUGAUCAUCCAAGCAGUUCAACAGGAAGUUUAUAGCCAAGAGAUAAAGUGCAUUCAAAAACAGGAAAAGAUGCCAAAAUCAAGCCCUCUUAGAAAUCUGGACCCGUUCAUUGACACACACGGGCUUCUCAGAGUUGGAGGCCGCCUUCGUCAUUCAAAUCUCGAUCAGAGCGAAAAGACUCCCCUGAUUAUUCCCGGCCAACACCACAUCGCCACCUUGCUCAUUAGACACCACCACGAGCAAAUCCAUCAUCAAGGCCGUCACUUCACAGAGGGGGCGGUCCGUUCAGCUGGCCUUUGGGUAGUUGGAGGGAAGAAAAGAGUAAGCAGCAUCAUCCACCAAUGCAUGACGUGCAGAAGGCUCAGAGCUCCACUCAGCAUCCAGAAGAUGGCAAACCUCCCCGCCGAUCGUCUUUCGACAGACCCGCCGUUCUCCAGCGUGGGUCUUGAUGUGUUUGGUCCAUGGAACGUCUCCUCACGCCGGACCAGAGGCGGCUUCGCUCAAAGUAAAAGGUGGGCAGUGAUCUUUACGUGCAUGAGCAUAAGAGCUGUGCACAUUGAAGUCAUAGAGUCCCUCGACACCUCUAGCUUCAUCAAUGCGCUACGGCGCUUCCUUUCAGUACGUGGGCCGGUCAAACAUAUUCGUUCUGACCGCGGUACCAACUUUAUUGGCGCCUGUAAGGAACUGAAGAUGACCUCGAACAUUGACAGCAUUGCCGUAAAAACCUAUCUCUCAGACAAGGGCUGCACCUGGUCUUUUAAUCCUCCACAUGCAUCCCAUUGGGGUGGAUCGUGGGAGAGAAUGAUAGGGCUGGCGAGGAGGAUUCUGGAUGCAAUGUUCCUCCGGCUGAAAGACAAGCUCACCCAUGAAGUGCUGGUGACCUUUAUGGCAGAAGUCGCAGCGAUCAUCAACGCCAGGCCACUUGUUCCAGUGACAAUGGACCCAGAUGACUCGUUCAUACUCACGCCUGCUGCUCUUCUCACACAAAAGGCAAACUUCGUGCCUGCUCCUGCUGGUGAGUUUGGAGUUGCAGACCUCUACAAAUCCCAGUGGCGGCAGGUUCAGCACCUGUCUAACACCUUCUGGGACCGCUGGAGGAAACAAUUCCUCCCAACACUGCAGGCCCGCAAGAGAUGGCAGUCCGCUCAGCCAAACAUUCCGCCUGGAAGCGUUGUUCUCUUUAAGAACAGCCAAGCACCUAGGAAUGAAUGGCCUCUUGGACUGAUUACACAGGCCUUCCCUAGCAAAGAUGGAAAAGUGCGCCAGGUUGAGGUGAAGAUCAUCAAGCCAGGUGGGACUAGCCUCUUUCUCAGGUCAGUCAAUGAAAUAGUUCUACUUCUACCUCCAGAGGCACAGUAAAUGGACUGUAGAUGGUCUGUGGGUGACGUGUGACCACGUCAGGCGGGGAGUGUUUUGUUAUGAGUGGAAAAAUAUCAUUAAGCUAAUUUUCAGAAGUUAAAUAUGUUUUACUUUUGGCUGUCAAUGCAGAUUCCUAAGGUGUUUCUGUUUUGGUCAUGUUCACGCGAGAUCGCGUUGUUGAAAAAUGUCCUAUGACUUGACCCGUAGUUAGGAAGUAAGCGCUCAACUCACGUAUUUCGGCGAUUUGUUUUAGAUUCAUGCAUAUCCUAUCGCAUCUCUCAACAUCUUGUGUCUGGCAUAGCAUCGUCGUUUCACCUUUUCUCUAACUCCAAUAAACCUGUGGAACGAACUAGAACGAAUCUUCAGAGUCUUGGUGUGGGGAAAAAGUUUAGCUGGCCGUCAGGAUAUUAAUAGACAUAUCGAGGACGGCACAAUAAGAUAAGAUAGGCUUUAUAUUUUCCAUUUUAGUGUGAUUUCUGUAGCAGGGAAACCCCGAGACAGACAUUCUCAAUGUUUUCCAAUUAUGUAAAAUGUGUAGAAUACAUGUUACAUUUCAAAUAUCUCUCAACGGAGAUUUGCGUCAUAAGCUGCGGCACACGUUUCUUGCAGCCCGGCGUAGUGCCAGGCGGGUCGCAGUUGUAAAAAUACCGGUAGGUGUUUGAUGAGCCCUGGAUCCCAAAGGGAAAACGAGAAAGAUAGCUGAGGAGAACAGAGUUCUUGGACCGAACCAUUUGCUUUCAUUGGGGAUACAGUAAAUCGGGCAAAAGACGACUAUUUCUGCCCUGCGAUGGACUGGCGACCCUCUAAGCUGCGCGCCUGGGCCAUCGCGCACAGCAUCUGGCUUCAGAGCGCACAGCAAAUCUAUGCUACGCAGAAAAUAAAAUCCUAGCUGAACUGUAAACAAGAUAAUAAACCAAGUUGUACUAUUUUGCAACUCUGGUGAGACGGUGUUCCGCGGCCCGCUCUGUGAGCGCAGGUGCUGAUCGGAACGCACCGCUAAUUGAUGGGUGGAGCAGAGGCCUUUAUAGUUGGGCAGGUUGCGCUGUGCGUCUUUGUUCUGGACUCCGUGAAAGAAAAAAUACCGAUCUACCCCGUGUAGAAAGCUGCUGCUCUGAGUAGUUCUUCCCCCCUCUGUCAUACUCGGGUUUUUGGUUUCAGAACAGGUAAUAUCAGCCAGGUAACUAAACUCAGUGUUCAACCAACCAUGACUUCAACGCGAGCACGAGAAUUAAAGAAGCCCUGAUCAAUGGAACGCAGAUAAUGUCCUUCACCAUGACAACGACAAGGAAUAAGCCUCAAAGUGCGCAUGAGUGGAAUUAGAAAAUUUUAAUGAAAGCAUAUGGAGAAUAUUUAACCAUAGGAAAUAAUGCUGUUGCUGCUGAAAAGGCGAGUUGGCUUGAUAUGAGAGUUAUUUGUUAC